rnacentral:ribozyme from 13 species
CAAAAGCAAUAACCAAAAUAACAAGAAUAAUGGUAAUAAUGAGUGCAAAUCCAAUGAAAAAUCCUCGAACAAAACUUUUUUGUUUUUGUUUUUCUCCGUUCAUUUCGUAUUUUUCUUUCUUUUUGCAAAAACAGGG